AGGAGUUCUCAAUGAGGAAUUGAAUUUGGCUGAUGCUGAAGGCGAGGAUCAAACUACUGAUACUGCAACGGUCGUGAAGGAUCGUAAGAAUGCAACCAAUAUAGAACCGCCUGUCAUUGAGGAUGGCAAAG